UGCCACAGCCAUAUCACCCUGCAGCCCAAGACCGGUUACUCACUGUAGCUAAGCAGGGCUGAGCCUGGCCAGUACCUGGAUGGGAGACCACUAGGGAACGUUAGGUUGUUGUUGGAA
rnacentral:rRNA from 1 species